rnacentral:rRNA from 1 species
CCUACGGGGGGCUGCAGUGGGGAAUAUUGGACAAUGGGCGAAAGCCUGAUCCAGCCAUGCCGCGUGAGUGAUGAAGGCCUUCGGGUCGUAAAACUCUUUUCUGAGGGAAGAACAUCCGCCGUAGGAAAUGACGGCGGCUUGACGGUACCUCAGGAAUAAGCAACGGCUAACUCCGUGCCAGCAGCCGCGGUAAUACGGAGGUUGCGAGCGUUGUUCGGAAUAACUGGGCGUAAAGGGAGCGCAGGCGGUUCGGCAAGUCUAAAGUGGAAGCCCGGGGCUUAACCUCGGAAGUGCUUUGGAUACUACCGAGCUCGAGUUCGUGAGAGGAAAGCGGAAUUCCAGGUGUAGCGGUGAAAUGCGUAGAUAUCUGGAGGAACACCGGUGGCGAAAGCGGCUUUCUGGCACGAUACUGACGCUGAGGCUCGAAAGCAUGGGUAGCAAACGGGCUUAGAUACCCCAGUAGUC